AGGGAAUAUUGGACAAUGGGCGGAAGCCUGAUCCAGCCAUGCCGCGUGGAGGAAGAAUGCCCUCUGGGUUGUAAACUCCUUUUGAAAGGGAAGAAACCUCUCUAUUUAUGGAUGAGCUGACGGUACCUUUCGAAUAAGCACCGGCUAACUCCGUGCCAGCAGCCGCGGUAAUACGGAGGGUGCAAGCGUUAUCCGGAUUUACUGGGUUUAAAGGGUGCGUAGGCGGGCCGAUAAGUCAGUGGUGAAAUACCCGUGCUCAACAUGGGAAUUGCCAUUGAUACUGUUGGUCUUGAAUAUGAGUGAGGCAGGCGGAAUGAUGCAUGUAGCGGUGAAAUGCUUAGAUAUGUUUCAGAACACCUAUUGCGAAGGCAGCUUGCUAAUUCAUGAUUGACGCUGAGGCACGAAAGCGUGGGGAGCAAAC
rnacentral:rRNA from 1 species